ACUCCUACGGGAGGCAGCAGUAGGGAAUCUUCCGCAAUGGACGAAAGUCUGACGGAGCAACGCCGCGUGAGUGAUGAAGGUUUUCGGAUCGUAAAACUCUGUUGUUAGGGAAGAACAAGUACCGUUCGAAUAGGGCGGCACCUUGACGGUACCUAACCAGAAAGCCACGGCUAACUACGUGCCAGCAGCCGCGGUAAUACGUAGGUGGCAAGCGUUAUCCGGAAUUAUUGGGCGUAAAGCGCGCGCAGGCGGUUUCUUAAGUCUGAUGUGAAAGCCCCCGGCUCAACCGGGGAGGGUCAUUGGAAACUGGGGAACUUGAGUGCAGAAGAGGAGAGUGGAAUUCCACGUGUAGCGGUGAAAUGCGUAGAGAUAUGGAGGAACACCAGUGGCGAAGGCGACUUUCUGGUCUGUAACUGACACUGAGGCGCGAAAGCGUGGGGAGCAAACAGGAUUAGAUACCCUGGUAGUCAA
rnacentral:rRNA from 1 species